UUAUAGUUUAGUGGCGGACGGGUGAGUAACACGUGAGCAACCUGCCUUCGAGAGGGGAAUAACGGCUGGAAACGGUCGCUAAUACCGCAUAACAUACAGGAGGGACAUCCCUUUUGUAUCAAAGAUUUAUCGCUCGAAGAUGGGCUCGCGUCCGAUUAGGUAGUUGGUGAGGUAACGGCCCACCAAGCCGACGAUCGGUAGCCGGACUGAAAGGUUGAACGGCCACAUUGGGACUGAGACACGGCCCAGACUCCUACGGAAGGCAGCAG
rnacentral:rRNA from 1 species